CGGGGCGUGGCGCAGCCAGGUAGCGCGCAUCGUUCGGGACGAUGAGGUCGGAGGUUCAAAUCCUCUCGCCCCGA
rnacentral:tRNA from 1 species